rnacentral:rRNA from 1 species
AUGUGCUGUGAGCUCGAUGAGUAGGGCGGGACACGUGGUAUCCUGUCUGAAUAUGGGGGGACCAUCCUCCAAGGCUAAAUACUCCUGACUGACCGAUAGUGAACCAGUACCGUGAGGGAAAGGCGAAAAGAACCCCGGCGAGGGGAGUGAAAAAGAACCUGAAACCGUGUACGUACAAGCAGUGGGAGCACAGGUUUACCUGUGUGACUGCGUACCUUUUGUAUAAUGGGUCAGCGACUUAUAUUCUGUAGCAAGGUUAACCGAAUAGGGGAGCCGGAGGGAAACCGAGUCUUAACCGGGCGUUAAGUUGCAGGGUAUAGACCCGAAACCCGGUGAUCUAGCCAUGGGCAGGUUGAAGGUUGGGUAACACUAACUGGAGGACCGAACCGACUAAUGUUGAAAAAUUAGCGGAUGACCUGUGGCUGGGGGUGAAAGGCCAAUCAAACCGGGAGAUAGCUGGUUCUCCCCGAAAGCUAUUUAGGUAGCGCCUCGUGAAUUCAUCUCCGGGGGUAGAGCACUGUUUCGGCUAGGGGGCCAUCCCGGCUUACCAACCCGAUGCAAACUGCGAAUACCGGAGAAUGUUAUCACGGGAGACACACGGCGGGUGCUAACGUCCGUCGUGAAGAGGGAAACAACCCAGACCGCCAGCUAAGGUCCCAAAGUCAUGGUUAAGUGGGAAACGAUGUGGGAAGGCCCAGACAGCCAGGAUGUUGGCUUAGAAGCAGCCAUCAUUUAAAGAAAGCGUAAUAGCUCACUGGUCGAGUCGGCCUGCGCGGAAGAUGUAACGGGGCUAAACCAU